AGAGUUUGAUCAUGGCUCAGAUUGAACGCUGGCGGCAGGCCUAACACAUGCAAGUCGAACGGUAACAGGAAACAGCUUGCUGUUUCGCUGACGAGUGGCGGACGGGUGAGUAAUGUCUGGGAAACUGCCUGAUGGAGGGGGAUAACUACUGGAAACGGUAGCUAAUACCGCAUAACGUCGCAAGACCAAAGAGGGGGACCCUCGGGCCUCUUGCCAUCGGAUGUGCCCAGAUGGGAUUAGCUUGUUGGUGGGGUAACGGCUCACCAAGGCGACGAUCCCUAGCUGGUCUGAGAGGAUGACCAGCCACACUGGAACUGAGACACGGUCCAGACUCCUACGGGAGGCAGCAGUGGGGAAUAUUGCACAAUGGGCGCAAGCCUGAUGCAGCCAUGCCGCGUGUAUGAAGAAGGCCUUCGGGUCGUAAAGUACUUUCAGCGGGGAGGAAGGGAGUAAAGUUAAUACCUUUGCUCAUUGACGUUACCCGCAGAAGAAGCACCGGCUAACUCCGUGCCAGCAGCCGCGGUAAUACGGAGGGUGCAAGCGUUAAUCGGAAUUACUGGGCGUAAAGCGCACGCAGGCGGUUUGUUAAGUCAGAUGUGAAAUCCCCGGGCUCAACCUGGGAACUGCAUCUGAUACUGGCAAGCUUGAGUCUCGUAGAGGGGGGUAGAAUUCCAGGUGUAGCGGUGAAAUGCGUAGAGAUCUGGAGGAAUACCGGUGGCGAAGGCGGCCCCCCUGGACGAAGACUGACGCUCAGGUGCGAAAGCGUGGGGAGCAAACAGGAUUAGAUACCCUGGUAGUCCACGCCGUAAACGAUGUCGACUUGGAGGUUGUGCCCUUGAGGCGUGGCUUCCGGAGCUAACGCGUUAAGUCGACCGCCUGGGGAGUACGGCCGCAAGGUUAAAACUCAAAUGAAUUGACGGGGGCCCGCACAAGCGGUGGAGCAUGUGGUUUAAUUCGAUGCAACGCGAAGAACCUUACCUGGUCUUGACAUCCACGGAAGUUUUCAGAGAUGAGAAUGUGCCUUCGGGAACCGUGAGACAGGUGCUGCAUGGCUGUCGUCAGCUCGUGUUGUGAAAUGUUGGGUUAAGUCCCGCAACGAGCGCAACCCUUAUCCUUUGUUGCCAGCGGUCCGGCCGGGAACUCAAAGGAGACUGUUAGUGAUAAACUGGAGGAAGGUGGGGAUGACGUCAAGUCAUCAUGGCCCUUACGACCAGGGCUACACACGUGCUACAAUGGCGCAUACAAAGAGAAGCGACCUCGCGAGAGCAAGCGGACCUCAUAAAGUGCGUCGUAGUCCGGAUUGGAGUCUGCAACUCGACUCCAUGAAGUCGGAAUCGCUAGUAAUCGUGGAUCAGAAUGCCACGGUGAAUACGUUCCCGGGCCUUGUACACACCGCCCGUCACACCAUGGGAGUGGGUUGCAAAAGAAGUAGGUAGCUUAACCUUCGGGAGGGCGCUUACCACUUUGUGAUUCAUGACUGGGGUGAAGUCGUAACAAGGUAGCCGUA
rnacentral:rRNA from 1 species